CGGGGUGUGGCGCAGUUUGGUAGCGCAUCUGCUUUGGGAGCAGAGGGUCGCUGGUUCGAAUCCAGUCACCCCGA
rnacentral:tRNA from 2 species